AUUUUCCUUUACAGUCCCUUUAAGAAAGUCAACUAUUAUUACUCACAUAGUAGACCAUGAAAGAAAGUUUAAUCUAAAACCAUAAAACACUCCAUACAAAACUAUCCAAACUUAGAACCAGCAAACUUUCCUCGGAACAAUAAACAAAAAAAUAAGAAAAAUAAAAGGUACACAAUUGCCCUAAACCAGAUCUUUUAUUGCAGGGAGAAUGGUUUAAAAAGAACGUAUUUUAUCAAAAUUUUCACCCGAUUCCUAGAUCUCAAAAAAAGAGCAACUUAAUGAGAUUACAAUAGAACCUGGGAAAGGUUAAGUUAAGACGGAAAGAUGUCUCGAAAAUUCAAUUAUUUGACAAAACUCAGGCCGGGGAUGAAUCCUGCGGCGGCUGCAGCGGCGGUAGCUGCAAGACAUCAGAGUGCGCAGGGUUCUCCGUUUAAACUGACAAUAGGAGAAUCCAUAGAUAGGAUUAAAGAUGAAUUCAACUUUCUACAGUCACAGUACAACAGUUUGAAGCUGGAGUGUGAAAAGCUAGCGCAGGAGAAAACAGAAAUCCAACGACAAUAUAUAAUGUACUAUGAGAUGUCCUAUGGCCUCAAUGUGGAGAUGCAUAAACAGACCGAGAUUGUGAAACGAAUGUCUGCUAUUAUAGCACAAGUACUUCCUUUUUUAUCACAGGAGCACCAGCAGCAGGUAGCUACAGCUGUAGAACGAGCUAAGCAGGUCACCAUGACUGACCUAAACUCUGUCGUCUCGGGAGGGCGACCCGAUAUAGCACGCCUGAUGCAGCUUCACGCACAUGCGCAAGCUAACCUUGCCGGAGCUGUUUCCGGUCCUCCUGGACUUCCUCCCGGCUUUCCCAACGGAGGUCUCGGCCUCCCUCCAGGUCUUGCUGGCCUUCAGCAUGGAAUACCGACCUCGUUGUCCAACUCCCUCCUCGGCAGCCUCCCAACCAGCAUAGCAGCAUCGCUUGGUGGCCUCGGUCCCGGUCCUCUACAUCCAGCUCUUAGUAUGCUCAAACCUCACCUCCCCCUUGAUCAUAAACGGGACGAAGAUGUGCGAAAAAGUCUUUCUGAGAGCAACGCCAGCAUGAUUUCACAGCAGUCCUCUGAGGAUAGACAUAGAAGUUCCUUGAGUCCUGGAGACCUCAGUCGACAUCAUCAUCGUUCCUCCCCGCAAAACAGUCGAGGUUCUCCUCAUCUCAAGAAAAUAAAACGCGACGUUGACACCAGCGACGGAGAACGAUCUGACCAGGAUCUUGUAGUCGAUGAUGCAAACGAUGUUCCCUCUGGGACGAACGGAAACCACCAUUCCUCUGGGUCGGAGGAGAACGGAAAAAAGUCUCCGACAAGUCCGGGCUCCGAGAGUUCGACAAGUCAGAAGAAACGAGAAAGUUCUGGAAAAGGAAAACCCCCGACUCCGAAACCGAUGGGAACUAUUACUCCUUUAUCUAGUGGAUUCCUAUUUCCCGAAGGAUCAACUCCUCCCAGCCUUCUCAACGGAUUAAGACCUCCACUAGGCUCGGACCCCCGCCCUGCCCUCCCCCCAGGGAUCUCCCAAACCAAACCAGCCUACUCCUACCAUGUGAGCGCUGACGGUCAAACAAGACCAGUUCCGUUUCCGGCCGACGCUCUCAUCGGUCCCGGUAUUCCUAGAACAGUUAGGAAAAUAAACACCCUUCCACACGGAGACGUUGUUUGUGCAGUAACCAUGUCUAAUCCUACUAAAUAUGUGUAUACAGGAGGAAAGGGUUGUGUUAAGGUCUGGGAUAUUGCUCAACCUGGGAGUAAGGUUCCAGUGUCUCAGCUAGAUUGUUUAACACGGGAUAACUAUAUCAGAUCUAUCAAACUUCUACCUGAUGGAAGGACUCUAGUUGUAGGAGGAGAAGCAAGCACUAUCUCUAUCUGGGAUCUAGCUGCUCCUGCUCCCCGGAGAAAAGGAGAACUGAACAGUGCUGCUCCGGCGUGCUACGCUCUUGCCAUCAGUCCCGACUCAAAGCUAUGUUUCAGCUGUUGCAGUGAUGGUAACAUCGCUGUUUGGGAUCUUCACAAUCAAACACCAGUGAGACAGUUCCAGGGACAUACGGACGGAGCCAGCUGUAUAGAUAUUUCAUCCGACGGAACAAAACUAUGGACGGGAGGUUUGGAUAACACUGUACGUUCCUGGGAUCUCCGGGAAGGAAGACAACUACAACAACAUGACUUUAGUUCUCAGAUAUUCUGUCUUGGUUAUUGUCCAACCGGAGACUGGUUAGCUGUUGGUAUGGAGAACUCUAAUGUUGAAGUUCUUCAUUGUUCUAAACCAGAUAAAUAUCAGCUUCAUCUGCAUGAAAGCUGUGUUCUCUCUCUCAAGUUUGCAAACUGUGGUAAAUGGUUUGUUUCAACUGGAAAAGAUAAUCUCCUAAACUCCUGGAGAACACCCUACGGAGCUUCAGUUUUCCAAUCGAAGGAGGAAUCCUCAGUUCUAAGUUGUGAUAUCAGCAACGAUGAUAAAUAUAUCGUCACAGGAUCCGGAGAUAAAAAAGCUUCAGUUUAUGAAGUGAUCUACUAGAUGGGAAUAUUUCCCUGGUUAAAAUAUGUGUGAAAAUUUGUCCCAAAUAGUUUGCAUAUUGACCUGAAGAAGACACACUAUUAGAAAUCCCUGCCCAGUGCAAUCUAUCAAUCUCAUCCCUCAUUAAUAAUUGAAAUAUCACAGUUAUUUAAUCAUAGAGUUGCUUCCAGCUAAAUAAAAUGUUAGGUUCUGUUAUCUUAAUCUUAGUUUUCUUACUGUUAACCGAAGUUUGCGGGGGAUGACAAAAAUAAUAGUGCAGACUAGAAUAUUCUGCUCCCUGUAAGACCCUUAGAAAUCAAUCAAUUUCCUAAGUUUCCAACCUAACAUCUUGUAUUUGCAUCACACGCAUAUAAACGUCUAGUCUAGGAUCAAGGGGUGGAAACUAGCAAAUUUAGUUAUUUUUACUAUAACACCACCCCUUAGUUCUUCAGUAUAAAUGUACAUUAUUGGACUUCUUUAUAAAUAUUGAAAUUUUAGUUAAUUAGAAAUAUAUAAUUGAAAUUUU
rnacentral:misc_RNA from 1 species